CGCGGCCUAUCAGCUUGUUGGUGGGGUAAUGGCCUACCAAGGCUUCGACGGGUAGCCGGCCUGAGAGGGUGACCGGCCACACUGGGACUGAGACACGGCCCAGACUCCUACGGGAGGCAGCAGUGGGGAAUAUUGGACAAUGGGCGGAAGCCUGAUCCAGCAACGCCGCGUGAGGGAUGACGGCCUUCGGGUUGUAAACCUCUUUCAGCACAGACGAAGCGCAAGUGACGGUAUGUGCAGAAGAAGGACCGGCCAACUACGUGCCAGCAGCCGCGGUAAUACGUAGGGUCCGAGCGUUGUCCGGAAUUAUUGGGCGUAAAGGGCUCGUAGGCGGUUUGUCGCGUCGGGAGUGAAAACACCGGGCCUAACUCGGUGCUUGCUUUCGAUACGGGCAGACUAGAGGUAUUCAGGGGAGAACGGAAUUCCUGGUGUAGCGGUGAAAUGCGCAGAUAUCAGGAGGAACACCGGUGGCGAAGGCGGUUCUCUGGGAAUAUCCUGACGCUGAGGAGCGAAAGUGUGGGGAGCGAACAGGAUUAGAUACCCUGGUAGUCCACACCGUAAACGUUGGGCGCUAGGUGUGGGGUCCAUUCCACGGAUUCCGUGCCGCAGCUAACGCAUUAAGCGCCCCGCCUGGGGAGUACGG
rnacentral:rRNA from 1 species